rnacentral:rRNA from 1 species
AUUGAACGCUGGCGGCAGGCUUAACACAUGCAAGUCGAGCGGAGAUGAGGUGCUUGCACCUUAUCUUAGCGGCGGACGGGUGAGUAAUGCUUAGGAAUCUGCCUAUUAGUGGGGGACAACAUUCCGAAAGGAAUGCUAAUACCGCAUACGUCCUACGGGAGAAAGCAGGGGAUAUUCGGACCUUGCGCUAAUAGAUGAGCCUAAGUCGGAUUAGCUAGUUGGGGGGGUAAAGGCCUACCAAGGCGACGAUCUGUAGCGGGUCUGAGAGGAUGAGCCGCAACACUGGGACGGAGACACGGCCCAGACUCCUACGGGAGGGAGCAGUGGGGAAUAUUGGACAAUGGGGGGAACCCUGAUCCAGCCAUGCCGCGUGUGUGAAGAAGGCCUUAUGGUUGUAAAGCACUUUAAGCGAGGAGGAGGCUACUGAGACUAAUACUCUUGGAUAGUGGACGUUACUCGCAGAAUAAGCACUGGCUAACUCUGUGCCAGCCGCCGCAGUAA